GGACCAAGGAGUCUAACACGUGCGCGAGUCGCAGGGUUGUACGAAACCCGAAGGCGCAACAAAAGUGAAGGAUCUUCGGAUCUUUGGUGAGAUCCCGAAGCCAGAGAUGGCGACGGGCGCAUCACCGGCCUGUCUCGGCCGCGACGUCGGCGAGGCGGAGCAAGAGCGUACGCGUUGGGACCCGAAAGAUGGUGAACUAUGCCUGAGCAGGAUGAAGCCAGAAGAAAUUCUGGUGGAGGUCCGCAGCGAUUCUGACGUGC
rnacentral:rRNA from 1 species